AUUGAACGCUGGCGGCAUGCUUUACACAUGCAAGUCGAACGGUAACAGGCCGCAAGGUGCUGACGAGUGGCGCACGGGUGAGUAAUGCAUCGGAACGUGCCCAGUCGUGGGGGAUAACUACUCGAAAGAGUAGCUAAUACCGCAUACGAUCUAUGGAUGAAAGCGGGGGACCGUAAGGCCUCGCGCGAUUGGAGCUGCCGAUGUCAGAUUAGGUAGUUGGUGGGGUAAAGGCUCACCAAGCCAACGAUCUGUAGCUGGUCUGAGAGGACGACCAGCCACACUGGGACUGAGACACGGCCCAGACUCCUACGGGAGGCAGCAGUGGGGAAUUUUGGACAAUGGGCGCAAGCCUGAUCCAGCAAUGCCGCGUGCAGGAAGAAGGCCUUCGGGUUGUAAACUGCUUUUGUACGGAACGAAACGGCCCUGGUUAAUACCCGGGGCUAAUGACGGUACCGUAAGAAUAAGCACCGGCUAACUACGUG
rnacentral:rRNA from 1 species